rnacentral:misc_RNA from 1 species
AGAGAAAGAGAGUGAGAGAGAGAGUAUAAACGCCUCUCUAGUUUCCAAUAAGGGCUCAGUGACUCCGUUGAUUGAUCAUUAGGAUCUUCUCAUCUGGAACCAUUAAUAGUUAGCAUGGUAUCCUGGUGCAUUUUUGACAAUUAAUUUAGAAUUACAUAUCUUCCUAUCCCAAGGCCAGUAGGAAAGUUGCAAAUUACUUGGCGAGGAUGCAUCAUAAUCAUUAAUUCCUUUAAUCAUGUAACAACUAAUAUUUAUGCAGUUAUUUACAAAAAAGUAGGAAAAUU